ACAGACUGGCACAUGGGCGGUGGGUACGGACUCAGUCGUUCUAUCUCAAGGUCCGAGGCAGUUGAGUAGUUCGGCAGCUGUAUCCGCGACUGAGCAGCCCUUUUUAGGACCCACUCUGCUCACCCCACACGGGGAGGGGGCUAGAAAAGGUGCCCUAAACAUAGUCUGCCUCUCUUAUCCCUGACUGGACUGCCGCGUCCAGUGGGGUCACCACCCUGCGGCCAAAAAAGAAAAA